rnacentral:rRNA from 1 species
CUGGCUCAGAUUGAACGCUGGCGGCAGGCCUAACACAUGCAAGUCGAGCGGAUGAGUGGAGCUUGCUCCAUGAUUCAGCGGCGGACGGGUGAGUAAUGCCUAGGAAUCUGCCUGGUAGUGGGGGACAACGUUUCGAAAGGAACGCUAAUACCGCAUACGUCCUACGGGAGAAAGUGGGGGAUCUUCGGACCUCACGCUAUCAGAUGAGCCUAGGUCGGAUUAGCUAGUUGGUGAGGUAAAGGCUCACCAAGGCGACGAUCCGUAACUGGUCUGAGAGGAUGAUCAGUCACACUGGAACUGAGACACGGUCCAGACUCCUACGGGAGGCAGCAGUGGGGAAUAUUGGACAAUGGGCGAAAGCCUGAUCCAGCCAUGCCGCGUGUGUGAAGAAGGUCUUCGGAUUGUAAAGCACUUUAAGUUGGGAGGAAGGGCAGUAAGUUAAUACCUUGCUGUUUUGACGUUACCAACAGAAUAAGCACCGGCUAACUUCGUGCCAGCAGCCGCGGUAAUACGAAGGGUGCAAGCGUUAAUCGGAAUUACUGGGCGUAA